GUGCUUCGGGUCUCGCCUGCAGACGGACGGUGGUAUGUGGACAUCCCUGAGUUCAACCUGAGAGUGGAUCUUCCGGCGUCAAGGCAAAGUAGCGACCUGCGUAACCGGCUAAACGACGCCGUGGCACCGCACGUGCCUGCGGGGACCGACUUCGUGAUCAAGAUGGCACCUGAGUGAGUGGCGCGCCUUCCUGAGUGACUAACUGGGUGACAAUCGCCAACGAUCAUGGCGGACAAGCGUGGACGCUGAUGGACGUGGACC
rnacentral:sRNA from 1 species